rnacentral:rRNA from 1 species
AUUGAACGCCGGCGGCAUGCCUUACACAUGCAAGUCGAACGGCAGCACGGGUGCUUGCACCUGGUGGCGAGUGGCGAACGGGUGAGUAAUACAUCGGAACGUACCUUAUCGUGGGGGAUAACGCAGCGAAAGUUGCGCUAAUACCGCAUACGCCCUGAGGGGGAAAGCGGGGGACCGUAAGGCCUCGCGCGAUUAGAGCGGCCGAUGUCUGAUUAGCUCGUUGGUGAGGUAAAAGCUCACCAAGGCGAUGAUCAGUAGCUGGUCUGAGAGGACGAUCAGCCACACUGGGACUGAGACACGGCCCAGACUCCUAUGGGGGGCAGCAGUGGGGAAUUUUGGACAAUGGGGGCAACCCUGAUCCAGCAAUGCCGCGUGAGUGAAGAAGGCCUUCGGGUUGUAAAGCUCUUUUGUCAGGGAAGAAACAGCAGCUCUAACACAGUCUGCGAAUGACGGUACCUGAAGAAUAAGCACCGGCUAACUACGUGCCAGCCGCCGCCGUAA